ACGGAAGGCAGCAGUGAGGAAUAUUGGUCAAUGGGCGGAAGCCUGAACCAGCCAAGUCGCGUGAAGGAUGAAGGUAUUAUGUAUUGUAAACUUCUUUAGACGCAGAGAAAUAAGGAGGUCGAGACCUCUGAUGCUAGUAUGCGUAGAAUAAGGAUCGGCUAACUCCGUGCCAGCAGCCGCGGUAAUACGGAGGAUCCGAGCGUUAUCCGGAUUUAUUGGGUUUAAAGGGUGCGCAGGCGGUCUUUUAAGUCAGUGGUUAAAUCGUGAGGCUCAACCUCAUCACGCCAUUGAUACUGGAGGACUUGAUUGCGGUUGAGGUUGGCGGAAUUCGCCGUGUAGCGGUGAAAUGCAUAGAUAUGGCGAAGAACUCCGAUUGCGUAGGCAGCCUUCAAGACCGUAACUGACGCUGAGGCUCGAAGGCGCGGGUAUCAAACAGGAUUAGAUACCCUGGUA
rnacentral:rRNA from 1 species